ensembl:lncRNA
AAAAGAAGGCAAGGAGUUGUUUUAAUGGGAAAUCUUUGAGGUUGCUGAUUAGAAAUGCACGGUGAAAUGAUAUGACCUCAGCACAACACAGGCCUGGCACAGUGCUGUCCCUUCCUUCAACAUCAUGACCACCAUAAGCAUAAAAGCACUAAUAUGUAUAAGAAAUUUCACCACUAGUACCAUUUUUUCCAUACUUCCUUCCUAACUCCUGCAAGUGACUUCACUGGUUUCACCUUCCAUCACAUCAGACACAGCUUUCUGUCCUCGCUCCCUAAGCCCUGUCACGUUAUCUCACAUACAGGAUUGCUAUGGCCGUGUCAUAACCAGGAGCACCCAAGUCUCCAUUCCUCCCCCAAGCCCUCAUUUGCUUUUACCUCCUUAUCCCCUCUCAGAGGGUGAAACGGCAUCCAGCCCUCAGUGAGGCAGCUUUCCCUCACCCACCUCAGAACGUGCUGUCACCACAAACUGUCCAGAAGAAACAAUCCAAGGAAGGAUGGUCAUGCGGCGAGCAGGCUCUUCCACUCCCAAGAGAGGAAGAAGGUGUUCGUGCUGCCCCCCUUCCUGCUUCCUCUUGUUCCACACGUUGCACACACUUCAAGACUGAGAAUAUGGUUUUCUACACAUCGCACAAUGAGACCUCUACCAUGACCAGCUUUGCAGGACUCUGCAAGGGCUGGGGCAGUCUGGCAGGAAGCCAACAAGGCUUGCAUCUCUGCAGAGCGUUUCAGUUGUCCUGUGAUGUUGCUGAGUGGCUCUGGGUGACCAGCUUACUUCUUCCAUCGAGGCUGCCCCGGGGGUACACAGGGAGAACACAUAAUCUUUCCACCUAUGGGAAAGAAGCCUUCCCAGGGGAAAAGACAUUCAUGUACCCCGGGAAGCCUCUCUCAUCUGGGAGCAGGCUAGCCUCAGGCUGUGCCUUGACCUCACCUCUGUCUCUGGCUGUCAGCACUGCAGCUGCAGCCUGCUUGGGGCAAGGGAAAGGCUUUCACUGCAGACUGCCAGGACUUGGGAGCUGCAAGCCUGUCUGUUUAAUGAAUGCUCCAUGUGCUGUGCAGCUUGACUCUCUAAUGUCAACGUUCAUUCAGUGCAGAGGAUAAUAACUUGUAGAGAAGAGAGCCACUCCUGCCAAAUCCAGCAAUCAGAGUUCUACCUCCCCUUCCAUAUAGCGAGCACAAUCCUAUAUUUUAAAAAUCUCAUCUGUCGAUCAGGGUAUUUACUAUGCUCUGUAUUCAUCCCCAGGGCUUUUGAGCACUCACUUAUCAAAGCAUUUGCCUGUAAAGUGGGAAUUUAAUUCUGAUCUUUAAAGAAAGGGGGAAAAGCUUAAAUGGCAGGCUGGAUUGCAAACAGGACAGAGGCCUUUACCUUUUGGACUGCCAUCUAAAAUGAGCAGAUUGCAGAGGGCUUGGUGAAAACAGCCAGAUCUGUGGCAGGUAGCUGCCUGCAUUGCAGCAGGCACCUUGCAGGGGCUGUGAAGGGCUGCAACUGUCCUCUUGCUUCCACAUUCCUCGGGAGGGACAGCUCUGAGCAUUGCUGAAGCCGCAUGGCUAGCUCUACAGCAGGGUCCUGGAGGGCUGAGCGAGAAACUGGAAGGCACCACUCAGAAAUGCAGAGCUGGAACUUUGGCAUUUAUUUCCCUGAGCUCAGCCUCAGGGUCAAACAGCACCACAGAAAUUGCCUUGUGAAGGGACAUUGCAAGGAGCACGUUAUCACCAGAAUUGUUAAUGCCUGUUUCCAUUUCGAAACAUGAAGCUCAAUUUCCUUCUCGCACCUCUGAUAUAAUUUUGCAGCAUUCAGCACUCUGUGGUGACUGUUGAUAUAUAAAUAACUAAUUAGAUAAGGCUCUGUUUAUCUGAGAGAGCCACAGCCUUCUCAAGGCAAAGCUCGGGCUGCACAAGAUGUAUAAUGUGCUGCUAGCUUUUAAGGACAGCCAGGCCAAGUCCUAUACUGCUGUGUUGACUGAAGGCAUACUUUUCCAAAAAAAAUCAAGGCUCAAGUUGGAUUCCUGAGUCUGUGGUUGAGCUUCAGAAGUGCAGCUGGAUUGUCAACCUACCAACACCCUUGAAGUCGGUGCACAUUCCAAGUGUGCUGGAAGUCAGAGCAGUUACGCGGGAGCCAAGGACUGGCAGCGCAGCCAAGAUGUCCAGAAUGCUCGUCAGUGUUUCAGAAGCAUGCAGGAGGCCUUAGCUGAAAAUCCUAGCCAAGCCUUGGGCAACCAUCAUGUUUUAAUUCCCUCCCUAGUACAAGAAGCGUUUCAGUGAAAAGAGUGCUGUGGCUUUCCUCUGUCCCUGCUUUCCUGAGGACAUCCACCUCCACUGCCGAUCAGCCCAUAGGGUUCAUUCUCCACUAAUAUUUCAGAUGAAUUCGUGGACUUGACCCUGGGACUCUAGAAACAGAGGGUAGGAUGGGAAAGGGAGAAGCUGGAAGUGCAUCAGUUGAAGUACUGACAAAGAGAAAUCAGGCAUCUAGCAAGCAAGAUUAGCCAUAUAUUUAUGUCACAAAAAACAGUCUUGAGAAGAUCUACCUCCAAUUAUAUGUCUUCCCUGCUGUCAGAAAAAAUUACACUCAGUAAGGGGAAAAAUUCCCCCGUCCCCACUUGAGGAAUGUAUUUCUUACAGAGACAGUAAAUACUUUUCUUUGGAUUGAAGAUGGUUGCUUAUUUUUUAUACUGGAGGUUGACAAGCCAGCAGCCGAGUCUCCCUCUAGUCUUUAAAGACAGGUCUAUGGCAACAGGAGUGCCCCCACAUGAAGGGAGAAAACAGUUGGACUGCAGAAUCUGCUCCGGCAUCCGCCCUGGGGGAGUCUCUAAAGACCCUGCAUGUCCACAUGAUUAAGGUGAAACUAUUGUGGUGAAGUUUGGUCCAAGAAGGCAGGUCCAAUAACCUGCAAGAUGAAGUGUGUGCUAUUGUUAAAACAGGCCAGAAUUUGGUGGUGUGUUAUUGCUGGCACUCCUCCAAAGAGGAAAUGAGCAUACUUGUGCUCUGCAGAAGGUGGGCUAGUGGGUAGUUGGGUUUCACACCAAGUCUGCAACUGUUCUGCUCCUUUGGCUGCACAGAGGUGUGUGUGAUGAGAUAGGGAGCGUAUUGCCUGUGCCAUGCUGACUUAGGGCUCGUGUUGGGCCUGAUGGAUGAGACAGAUGGGCUGGGAGAAGGAUCUGUGUCAUGGAGCACUGGUUUGGCAGCAGUUGCUGGAGCUUGGUGAGUGCAAAGAGCCAGUCUCUGGUGCUCACAGAAGGUGCUGUGAUGACUGUGCUGGCAAAGGCCUCCUCUCUCCUUAGCGAGAAGUGAAACUUGGGACAGGCACAGCAAAGCACUGGUGGCUACUGGCCAGCAUCCUUUGACUGGAAGGAACACUACUGGUCCAGAAGGGGCUGGUUUUGCUGGUCCUUGCAGACCUUAUCAUCUUUGUUCAGCCUGCUAGAAAGUUGGACAAGCU